GCCCCAAAGACUCUGCCGAAAAUUCAAUCGGAAAGUGUCCCCAAAGCGGAGGAACUCGAAACUAGAAACUCUUACUCCGGCACAGAUGGAAGUAUCCUUCGGAAAUGAAAAUUUAAUUAAUGCCACCACUAAAAACCAGAAAAACCAGAACUCGCUGGGGAUGGGGAUGCAAAACUUUUCCACCAGCUGCGGCCACCAGAAGCGGAGCAAAAGCCAGAUAAGAUGGAAGGAGAGGGAAUGUGGGAAUUGUGUCUGGAGGAUUAGGCGCACAUAUGAGAUUCGAGCAUGGCAGAGCUUAAAUGUCACAGCGGAGUCAUUAGUAUGCAGAGAUAAAACAACAACUAAGCACAGUUUUCAUACAAAUCAUAUUGCCUUGAGAAGGUCAUAUUUAAUCAGAUGCAAAAGAAUUUCAAACUACUAAUAAAUGAAAAGUUAACAGAAUUUUUAAUAAA